rnacentral:rRNA from 1 species
GUAGGUGGCAAGCGUUGUCCGGAAUUAUUGGGCGUAAAGCGCGCGCAGGCGGUUUUUUAAGUCUGAUGUGAAAGCCCACGGGCUCAACCGUGGAGGGUCAUUGGAAACUGGAGAACUUGAGUACAGAAGAGGAAAGCGGAAUUCCACGUGUAGCGGUGAAAUGCGUAGAGAUGUGGAGGAACACCAGUGGCGAAGGCGGCUUUCUGGUCUGUAACUGACGCUGAGGCGCGAAAGCGUGGGGAGCAAACAGGAUUAGAUACCCUGGUAGUCCACGCCGUAAACGAUGAGUGCUAAGUGUUAGGGGGUUUCCGCCCCUUAGUGCUGCAGCUAACGCAUUAAGCACUCCGCCUGGGGAGUACGGCCGCAAAGGCUG